AGGCCUUAGGGUUGUAAAGCGCUUUCAGCGGGGACGAUGAUGACGGUACCCGCAGAAGAAGCCCCGGCUAACUCCGUGCCAGCAGCCGCGGUAAUACGGAGGGGGCAAGCGUUGUUCGGAAUUACUGGGCGUAAAGGGCGCGUAGGCGGACGAUCAAGUCAGAGGUGAAAGCCCCGGGCUCAACCUGGGAACUGCCUUUGAAACUGAUAGUCUAGAGUCCGGAAGAGGAUAGCGGAAUUCCCAGUGUAGAGGUGAAAUUCGUAGAUAUUGGGAAGAACACCAGUGGCGAAGGCGGCUAUCUGGUCCGGUACUGACGCUGAGGCGCGAAAGCGUGGGGAGCAAACAGGAUUAGAUGCCCUGGUAGUCCACGCCGUAAACGAUGUGUGCUAGCCGUUGGGGGACCUAGUUCCUCGGUGGCGCCGCUAACGCUUUAAGCACACCGCUGGGGAG
rnacentral:rRNA from 1 species